AUGGCCUGGAUCCGCCAGAGACCCGGGCAGGCACUGGAGUUCAUUGCAGAUAUCAGCACCACUGACAGCACCAGCUACGCGCAUUCGGUCAAGGGGCUCCGGGCAGCCGUGACCCUGCUGGAGUGCGGGGGGGAACUCCAGCCCCCCGGGGGGUCCCUGACGUUGCUGUGCCGCGCCACUGGGUUUGAUUUCGGGAAUUUUGGAAUGAUCUGGAUCCGUCAGAGACCCGGGCGGACACUGAAAUAUAUCGCCAGCAUCAGCAGCAGUGGCGGCGGCACCGGCUACGCGCCGUCGGUCAAGGGCCGGUUCACGAUCUCCAGGGACAACGGCCAGAGCUCGGUGACGCUGACCAUGAACAACCUCAAGGAUGAGGAUUCCGCCGUUUAUUUCUGCACAAAACGUGCCAGUAGUACUUACGGCUCUCAGAGUGCUGCUGCUAAUGGGAGCGGCAACGGCUCCUGGCGGCCGUGA